rnacentral:rRNA from 1 species
UAAUACGUNGGUGGCAAGCGUUGUCCGGAAUUAUUGGGCGUAAAGCGCGCGCAGGCGGUCCUUUAAGUCUGAUGUGAAAGCCCACGGCUCAACCGUGGAGGGUCNUUGGAAACUGGGGGACUUGAGUACAGAAGAAGAAAGCGGAAUUCCACGUGUAGCGGUGAAAUGCGUAUAGAUGUGGAGGAACACCAGUGGCGAAGGCGGCUUUCUGGUCUGUAACUGACGCUGANGCGCGAAAGCGUGGGGAGCAAACAGGAUUAGAUACCCUGGUAGUCCACGCCGUAAACGAGGAAUGCUAAGUGUUAGAAGGUUUCCGCCCUUUAAUGCUGCACUAACCCAUUUAGCACUCCGCCUGGGGAGUACGGCCGCCAGGCUGAAACUCAAAUGAAUUGACCGGGGCCGCCCAANCGGUGGAACAUGUUUGUUUAUAUUCUAAUCCACCGCCAAGAACUUUACANG